GGGGAUGUGAGCUUCGACAAUAGUUCCUUUCAAAAUAAGCAAAUCCAGUAUUCUGAAAUCUGGCUAAACUUUCAGAAAAAACAUAAUUGCUAAUUUAUUUAAUAAGCAACCAGCAUUAGCAUACGCUUAGUGCUGCAUCCUUGCCGUCGACUCCUAAUAGGCGGACCAAGGGUGUUAUAUUAUUAGGAUAGAUAAUUUUUCUCCUCGGAAAAUUAUUGAAAUUAAGAGGAUUAGGAUAUUAAAAAUUUUGUCUGUUUCUUAUUUGAUAUCCAAACAACAAAACAGAAUACAUUUGUAGAAUUAUUUUGAAAAAAUUAUUGGACCCGAGUUCAAUCUCGGCAUCUCCACCA
rnacentral:tmRNA from 1 species